rnacentral:rRNA from 1 species
UGGGGAAUAUUGGGGCAAAUGGGGCGAAAGCCUGACCCAGCGACGCCGCGUGAAGGAAGAAGGUCUUCGGAUUGUAAACUUUAGUCAACAGGGAAGAAAAUAGACGGUACCUGUGGAGGAAGCCACGGCUAACUACGUGCCAGCAGCCGCGGUAAUACGUAGGUGGCGAGCGUUAUCCGGAAUUACUGGGUGUAAAGGGUGUGUAGGCGGACCGGCAAGUCAGAUGUGAAAAUUACGGGCUCAACUCGUAACCUGCAUUUGAAACUGUCGGCCUUGAGAGUGGGAGAGGUAAAUAGAAUUCCCGGUGUAGCGGUGAAAUGCGUAGAUAUCGGGAGGAAUACCGGUGGCGAAGGCGAUUUACUGGACCACAACUGACGCUGAGACACGAAAGUGU